AGCUCCAAUAGCGUCUAUUAACUUUUCUUCCUUUCCCCAUCUCUUCUUUUUCUCUCUUUUUACCUGGUCUAUCCGGUAUAGCUCACGCUAAAACUGGUCUGACCCCCCAACGUGAGGUAUUCGUCUCCGGGUGCACUUCAUUGGGUGCUCGUGAGGGGCCUCGUAGUUACUGUGAAAAAAUUAGAGUGUUCAAAGCAUGCUCAUAUGUUCGGAUAGUCGUGCAUGGAAUAACUGAAUACGUGACUGGCGCUUUUCAGUUGGUCUCGGCGACUGGUCAAAUGAUUAAGAGGGACUGCCGGGGGCAUUGGUAUGGCGGGGUUAGAGGUGAAAUUCUUGGAUCCUCGCCAGACCAACAAAAGCGAAAGCAUUUGCCAAGAAUGUCUUCA
rnacentral:rRNA from 1 species